CCUACGGGAGGCAGCAGUGGGGAAUAUUGGGCAAUGGGCGCAAGCCUGACCCAGCAACGCCGCGUGAAGGAAGAAGGCUUUCGGGUUGUAAACUUCUUUUGUCAGGGACGAAGCAAGUGACGGUACCUGACGAAUAAGCCACGGCUAACUACGUGCCAGCAGCCGCGGUAAUACGUAGGUGGCAAGCGUUAUCCGGAUUUAUUGGGUGUAAAGGGCGUGUAGGCGGGAAUGCAAGUCAGAUGUGAAAACUAUGGGCUCAACCCAUAGCCUGCAUUUGAAACUGUAUUUCUUGAGUGCUGGAGAGGUAAGUGGAAUUCCUAGUGUAGCGGUGAAAUGCGUAGAUAUUAGGAGGAACACCAGUGGCGAAGGCGGCUUACUGGACUGUAACUGACGUUGAGGCUCGAAAGCGUGGGGAGCAAACAGGAUUAGAUACCCUGGUAGUC
rnacentral:rRNA from 1 species